AUUGAACGCUGGCGGCAGGCCUAACACAUGCAAGUCGAACGGUAACAGGAAGAAGCUUGCUUCUUUGCUGACGAGUGGCGGACGGGUGAGUAAUGUCUGGGAAACUGCCUGAUGGAGGGGGAUAACUACUGGAAACGGUAGCUAAUACCGCAUAACGUCGCAAGAACAAAGAGGGGGACCUUCGGGCCUCUUGCCAUCGGAUGUGCCCAGAUGGGAUUAGCUAGUAGGUGGGGUAACGGCUCACCUAGGCGACGAUCCCUAGCUGGUCUGAGAGGAUGACCAGCCACACUGGAACUGAGACACGUUCCAGACGCCUACGGGAGGCAGCAGUGGGGAAUAUUGCACAAUGGGCGCAAGCCUGAUGCAGCCAUACCGCGUGUAUGAAGAAGGCCUUCGGGUUGUAAAGUACUUUCAGCGGGGAGGAAGGGAGUAAAGUUAAUACCUUUGCUCAUUGACGUUACCCGCAGAAGAAGCACCGGCUAACUCCGUG
rnacentral:rRNA from 1 species